rnacentral:tRNA from 1 species
GGUAGGAUGGCUGAGUAAGCAUUAGACUGUAAAUCUAAAGACAGAGGGUGGCCCUCUUCCUAUCA